rnacentral:rRNA from 1 species
GCAUAUCAAUAAGCGGAGGAAAAGAAAAUAACAAUGAUUUCCCUAGUAACGGCGAGUGAAGAGGAAAGAGCUCAAAGUUGGAACCUGUUUGGCUUAGCUAAACCGGAUUGUAAACUGUAGAAGUGUUUUCCAGACACGCCUGGUAAAAAAGUCCUUUGGAACAGGGCAUCAUAGAGGGUGAGAAUCCCGUCAUUGGCCAGAGCUGUUGUCUUUUGUGAUACAUUUUCAAAGAGUCAGGUUGUUUGGGAAUGCAGCCUAAAUUGGGUGGUAAAUCUCACCUAAAGCUAAAUAUUUGCGAGAGACCGAUAGCGAACAAGUACCGUGAGGGAAAGAUGAAAAGAACUUUGAAAAGAGAGUUAAACAGUAUGUGAAAUUGUUAAAAGGGAACCGUUUGGAGCCAGACUGGCUUAACUGUAAUCAAUCUAGGCUUUGGCCUGGAUGCACUUGCGGUUUAUGCCGGCCAACGACAGUUUUGUUUGAGGGAAAAAAUUACAUUGAAUGUGGCCCUUCGGGGUGUUAUAGCUUUGUAAAAAAUACCUUGGACUGGACUGAGGAACGCAGUGAAUGCCUUUAGGCAAGAUUGCUGGGUGCUUUCGCUAAUAAAUGCUAGAAUUUCUGCUUCGGGUGGUGCUAGUGUUUAAAGGAGGAACUCGCUUAGUAUAUUUUUUAUUCGCUUAGGUUGUUGGCUUAAUGACUCUAAAUGACCCGUCUUGAAACACGGACC